rnacentral:lncRNA from 1 species
AAAAAGAAGGCAACGUCGGCCUACACAAAGUUGGAGAAGAGCAACUGGUUGUUUGUCUUUUGGAUUGAAAUAAGGGAGCCACUCGAUAUCAAGACCAAUAAGGAGUUUGUGCAGUCUUCGCCUAUGAGUAUGAUAAGUAUGCAAAAUCCAGUCAUUAACAACAAUUGCAUUCUUCGUUACAGUAACUUCUAUUUGAUCACUGUAGAAAGAAACUCCGUACACUUCAGCCAUUGAUAAACAACAGUAAAACAGAGAACUUUUGUUAAUAUGGAGUAUAACUUGUGGAAUGGAAUGAAUAAGGGGCUGUAUAUAUAAAUAAGAGAGUGAAUAAAGGGCACAUUUGCCUUAAGCCCUAUGCAUCAAACUAACAUUUUUAGUGCAAUAUACAUCCACCUGAUAAGACAUUGAUCCAAAAGACACUAUCGAGCAUUUGUUUCUUCUGUCUAUUAGUUAUGGUAGCGCCAUGAUCAAAUUGAGUUGACAUGCUUAUUUGAAAACAUAAGAAUUAAUCCUUAUCGCUGAAAAUGAUGCAGAAGGAAUUCUUUCAAAGGUUUCAACAGGGAAACUUGACUGGCUUCUCUUCCUUCUUUUGGCAGGUAUGUUGACACAUUCAACAAAGGUGGUGGUAAUCCAACAAAUCUUUUCCAGUCACCUUCUGUUCCUUCCAUAAAGCCUGCUACUGCUGGCAUCUGUUUUUUCCCAUUCUUAAGACGAAAUAUAAGUGUUUUCUUUUAGUGAUUCCAGAGGAUGUUACAACAACUAAUGACCUUAGUUGCCACCUUUGAUUGGAGGAUAUAUAACGUGGCAGCAGAGAUAUGGGAGUUUUAAAUCAGACCAAAUUUUGGUCAUAGAAGCAGCAAUGAACAAUGACUCAAAUAUGAAUUUUAUAUGGUAUGUGUGGAGUACAAGAUUGGGUACUAAUCUUGCUCCUAAGAAACAUGGUAUAUAACAUUAUGCGCAAAUUAAGUGAAUUCGCUUAUAUAACAUUCUUAUAAUUGCCUGAACCAGGAAAGCAAAAACCAAGAAAAGAAAAAGAAACAUGGUAUAUAAGCAAAAA